rnacentral:rRNA from 1 species
GGCGAUCAGAUACCGCCCUAGUUCUGACCGUAAACGAUGCCAACUAGCGAUCCGCCAGUCGACUCAUCGCUCUGGUGGGGAGCUUCCCGGAAACGAAAGUCUUCCGGUUCCGGGGGAAGUAUGGUUGCAAAGCUGAAACUUAAAGGAAUUGACGGAAGGGCACCACCAGGAGUGGAGCCUGCGGCUUAAUUUGACUCAACACGGGGAAACUCACCCGGCCCGGACACCGUAAGGAUUGACAGAUUGAUAGCUUUUUCAUGAUUCGGUGGAUGGUGGUGCAUGGCCGUUCUUAGUUCGUGGAGCGAUUUGUCUAGUUUAUUCCGAUAACGAGCGAGACUCUGGCCUACUAAAUAGUUGGCACAUUGCCACUGUGUGCACAACUUCUUAGAGGGAUUUUCGGUGUUCAGCCGCACGAAAUUGAGCAAUAACAGGUCUGUGAUGCCCUUAGAUGUCCGGGGCUGCACGCGCGCUACACUGGCAAAAUCAGCGUGCUUGUCCUCCCCCGAAAGGGGUUGGUAAACCGAUGAAAAUUUGCCGUGAUUGGGAUCGGACAUUGCAAUUAUUGUCCGUGAACGAGGAAUCCCUUGUAAGGGCGAGUCAUCAACUCGUCCUGAAUACGUCCCUGCCCUUGUA